ACACAUCAUCAUCACCCAAAUCCACAGUUUACAUUAGGGUUCACUCUUGGUGUUGUACAUUCUAUGGGUUUGGACAAAUGUAUAAUGACAUGUAUCCAUCAUUAUAGUAUCAUAUAGAGUAGUUCUGUCACUCUAAAAAUCCUCUAUGUUUCAAGGAUAGGGAGGGAUAGGUAUUCUGGGGGUUCUACUUUGACCCUUUUAAAUGGGGAUAAAGAGACAGAUGGAAACACACUUAGUCCUAAUAUACCAUAUCUUAUUCCCAGUGUGGCAGGUAGACUCUAAAGUGUACCCUAAGGAUUGCCUCUGGAGGCUGUGGACAGCAUCUACAAUCAAUGGUUGGCCUCCAGCUGAUAGCCAGCAAAAAGCUAGGACCCUCAGUCAUACGACCACCAGGAUAUAAAUUCUGCCAGCAAUCUAUAUAAGCCUGGAAGCAGAUUCUUCCCCAAUUAAACCUCUAGAUGAGAAUGCAGCCAAGACAACAGCUUGACCACAGCCUUGUAAGACCCUGAGCAAAGGACCCAGUAAGUAAUGCUGUAUCUGAACUCCUGAGCCACAGCUAAGUUUAUGGUAAUUUGUUACACAGCAACAGAAAAUGAAUAUAUCCAGUGUGAAGUAUUCAUCUGGAUCCAUUGAAGGGGAUAAACAUACCUAGAGAAGCCAAGCCUUAUGAUCACCCACAGUCUCUCUUGACUCUAUACAAUGGGGAGUCAGUCUCAAUAGGGUCGGGGGUUCAUGAGUUAAUUAGACUUUGGCUAGAGCAAAUGGCACAUUAGAAGAUAAGAGUAAAAAGACAGUCUGGAGAAAAUAAACUGGUACUCUGUACUUUCUGCUCAAUUGUUCUGAAAGCCUAAAAAAAUGGUCUACGAAAAAAAUUAAAAUAAAAACAAAAAGUCUGAAGUCAAACCGUGGAUGGUCUCACAUGCCAAACUACUGAGUAGGUAAUGCAUAAUCAUUUCUAAGGAAGGUAGAUGACCUAAUCUGACCUCUGCUUUAGGAAAAUAAGUCCAGUCACAGUAUAAAAAGCGAUUUGAAGAGGAAGGCUGGAAGUAGAUAACUAGAUAGGUCAUUCUAUUAUUUCACAUGAGUGCCUGACUUAGGACAGGUAAGAAAGAAUGAAAAGAACAGACAGGUAAUAUCUCCAGCAGGUAUAAGUGACAGGAUGUGGCAACUGAUUAGAUGUAGGAAAAGAAGCUGUUAGCGCCAAAGACAAAUCGGGUAUUUCUAGCCAACGAUACUAGGAUGUAAGUCAACAGUAUCAUUAAAUGAGACUGGAAACAAAGAGGUUCCAGAAGGGACAGAUAAUGAGCUCCAAGAAUACAAAACAGUGAGAAGCAGAAGGCAAAGAGAAAGAAAAAAGAAGUGCACAGCGAGAGAAAAUAAAGACAGGUGUUAAACUAUACAGAAUGCUUUGGCAGUAUUAAAGAUGAGUAAACUACUAUGUACAAUUAUAUCCAGUCAGCCCCUGCAGCUAGAUGCUUUAGUCCUAAUUUUCAAGAGAUACUAAUACUAAAUUAUUUAACUCAGCUAGGCAUGGUGGUUCAUGCCUGUAAUCCAUUUUGGGAGGACAACACAGGAGGAUCUCUUGAGUCCAGGAGUUUGAGACCAGCCUGGGCAACAAAGCAAGAACCUGUGUCUAUAAAAAGAUAAAAUUAUUUAACUCAACAUUUUCCUCCCUGCCUUCAUUGUAAUAUAUAUAUAUAUAAAAAAAAGAUUUUCGAAGAGGUUAUAUGGUUUGCCUAAAGUUACCAACUGCUUAGUGACAGGGCCUAGGUUAAAAUGCAGGUCCUCUUUAGACUCAGUCUACUUCAUGUCCUGAAUUAUGUUAGAGGCAGUACUUCCUUACAUAAACCAAUUAUCCAUGUCCCUUUAUGGUCAGAGAUGACCAUCUGGGCAUACCCCCUCACACUGUCAGUACCUGGAAUUUUCUCUUGUGGUUCUUCUCUCUGCUCUAUGUGACAGAAAUCAUAUAUGGCAUCAACUAGCGAAACAGAAAAAGAACCAGGCAGACAAUCCCUAACGAAAAGAAAC
rnacentral:lncRNA from 1 species